UACGAGGGGGGCGAGCGUUGUUCGGAAUUAUUGGGCGUAAAGGGUGCGUAGGCGGUUUGUUAAGUCUUGUGUGAAAUCUACAGGCUCAACUUGUAGUCUGCACGAGAAACUGCCGGGCUUGAGUAUGGGAGAGGUGAGUGGAAUUCCUGGUGUAGCGGUGAAAUGCGUAGAUAUCAGGAGGAACACCUGUGGCGAAAGCGGCUCACUGGACCAUAACUGACGCUGAUGCACGAAAGCUAGGGGAGCAAACAGG
rnacentral:rRNA from 1 species